GAAGGACUCCCUGGACCUCCAGGACCAAAAGGUCAACGUGGCAUGCCUGGGCCACAGGGUCCUCCUGGAGAUGCUGGUAGACCAGGUGUGUCAAGACCUGGUCUGAGAGGUCCCCCAGGAUUUCCUGGGCCAAAAGGAGCAAAAGGAGAGAAAGGACAAACUGGCUUGUGUAUUGUAGGCCCUCCAGGAUUACCUGGUAUGACUGGCAGACCUGGUUCUGUUGGAUUACCAGGUCCUCCAGGAGAACCAGGUAGGGUAACAUUUAGAACAGGCCUACCAGGACUUCCUGGAGAACCAGGAUGUGCAG
rnacentral:lncRNA from 14 species